GAUGGACGCUAGCGACAGGCCUAACACAUGCAAGUCGAGGGGUAACAGGGAAGCUUGCUUCCGCUGACGACCGGCGCACGGGUGAGUAACGCGUAUGCAACCUACCUUACACUGGGGGAUAGCCCAGAGAAAUCUGGAUUAAUACCGCAUAACACUUAAAUUUCGCAUGUUAUUUAAGUUAAAACUCCGGUGGUGUAAGAUGGGCAUGCGUAGCAUUAGUUAGUUGGUGAGGUAACGGCUCACCAAGACGAUGAUGCUUAGGGGGUCUGAGAGGAUAGUCCCCCACACUGGUACUGAGACACGGACCAG
rnacentral:rRNA from 1 species